UGAUGUGAAGAGCACUAUUAAUAGCUUUUGUCUUGAAGCUUGAGCUGGCCUUCAUGACAAUCUUCCCACUUUGGCAAGAGAGUGCAUCCAUUUCAGUUUUCAAUUCUCCCUUACUCCCCAGAAGCAGGAAGAAGUAACUGGAACAGAAUCAUCUGGCAAAAUCAACUGAGAAAAAUGGAAAAAAGUACCACCUGGUUUCCUUACUGGCAAUAUUUUUAGUGGCAGUAAUAUCCAAAUAAUGUGGAUCUCAAUCAAGGCUGUCAAAUAAACACAUUGCUAGGAGGAUCACCUCAACCUGUAGGAGCUUCCUUCCUGCCAAGAAAGCUGGUUCAUUCACCACUGAGCAUCAUCAUCAUGGAAUGUAAGUGCAUGCUUUGCUCUGGGCUCUCAAUCCCACUGGGACUUGGACCUGGACUCAGUCAGCUGCUUGAUUUU
rnacentral:lncRNA from 1 species